rnacentral:rRNA from 1 species
UUAUCGGAGAGUUUGAUCCUGGCUCAGAACGAACGCUGGCGGCAGGCUUCAUACAUGCAAGUCGAACGGUUAAAGCUCUCUUCGGAGAGUGUAUAAAGUGGCGAACGGGUGAGUAACAGGUGGAUAAUCUACCUUUCGGUGGGGGACAACGGUUGGAAACGGCCGCUAAUACCGCAUACGGUCGCGAGUUUCUUGGAAUUUGCGAAGAAAGGGGCUUUUGCUCCGCCGAAAGAUGAGUCCGCCUCCCAUUAGCUAGUUGGCGAGAUAAAAGCUCACCAAGGCAACGAUGGGUAGCCGAGCUGAGAGGUUGACCGGCCACACUGGAACUGAGACACGGUCCAGACACCUACGGGUGGCAGCAGUAAGGAAUAUUGCGCAAUGGGCGAAAGCUUGACGCAGCCAUGCCGCGUGGAUGACGAAGGCCUUCGGGUCGUAAAGUCCUUUUAUCAGGGAAGAACAAGCGCGAGAAGAAAAAGCUCGCGCCCUGACGGUACCUGAUGAAUAAGCAACGGCUAACUCCGUGCCAGCAGCCGCGGUAAUACGGAGGUUGCGAGCGUUGUUCGGAUUUACUGGGCGUAAAGGGAGCGCAGGCGGCUAGAUAAGUCUAAAGUGAAAGUCUGGGGCUUAACCCCGGAAGUGCUUCGGAUACUGUCUAGCUUGAGUAUGUGAGAGGAGUGCGGAAUUUCAGGUGUAGCGGUGAAAUGCGUAGAUAUCUGAAGGAACACCGGUGGCGAAAGCGGCACUCUGGCGCAAGACUGACGCUGAGGCUCGAAAGCGUGGGGAGCGAACGGGAUUAGAUACCCCGGUAGUCCACGCCGUAAACGUUGUCAACUAGGUGCAGGGGGUAUCGACCCCCUCUGUGCCGUAGCUAACGCAUUAAGUUGACCGCCUGGGGAGUACGGCCGCAAGGCUGAAACUCAAAGGAAUUGACGGGGGCCCGCACAAGCGGUGGAGCAUGUGGUUUAAUUCGAUGCAACGCGAAGAACCUUACCCAGGCUUGACAUCCCGGGCCCGCCAUGGAAACAUGGUUUUCUCUUCGGAGACCCGGUGACAGGUGUUG